GGGCCCGUAGUGAAGUGGCCUAUCACGCCUCCCUGUCACGGAGGAGAUCACCGGUUCGAAUCCGGCCGGGCCCGCCA
rnacentral:tRNA from 1 species